rnacentral:rRNA from 1 species
UACGGAGGGUGCGAGCGUUAAUCGGAAUUACUGGGCGUAAAGCGUGCGUAGGCGGUUUGUUAAGCAAGAUGUGAAAGCCCAGGGCUCAACCUUGGAACUGCAUUUUGAACUGGCAAACUAGAGUACUGUAGAGGGUGGUGGAAUUUCCAGUGUAGCGGUGAAAUGCGUAGAGAUUGGAAGGAACAUCAGUGGCGAAGGCGGCCACCUGGACAGAUACUGACGCUGAGGCACGAAAGCGUGGGGAGCAAACAGG